GGAUGUGUAGUCAGGCAGUUACACUCUAAACAUGCACCGGAUAGAUUACACUUCAAGUAUGUUAGUCACGUGUCAUCUGCCGGAAGUGACCUUUGUACCACAGGAGAAGGAAAUUAUUGUCCAGAAUGGACAUCUUCCCAAAGUGCUCUGUCUGUCAUCAGCAGUUUGUCCUCAAAGGCCCCGCCCCCUACCUACUGCCCUGUCUACACGCUGUGUGUGAGACGUGUGUGACAUCUGCAGCUGCUGGUGUGAUAUCAUGCUCUACUUGUCAGACGGAGGUCAACCUCACAGACACAAGCCUC